rnacentral:lncRNA from 1 species
CUGAUUAUUUCUGGCUGGGUACUCUGCUGACAUAAUCUAAUGUUUUGCUUUCGUUGUAAAGCCUUUUUGAAAUCGGACAGUGUGGUUAGAUUAACGAGAGUCUUGUCUUUAAAAUGGUGUAAAAUAGUCAUAUGUUUGAGAAAUUGAAGUAAUAGCAUUUCUAAGGUAUUUGAAUAACGCGCCACAGGAUUCCACUGGCUGUUACGUAGGUGGGACGAUUUCGUCCCGCCGAACCUAGAGAGGUUAAACUACAUUGUUGGGAAGGGCUCGUAAGCAAGCAUUUCAUGGUAAAGUCUACACCGGUUGUAUUCGGCACGUGUAACAAAUAUUUUUUUCCUUUUUUGAUGGUUAAUGAUAACAAAGUUAUUUUCUUUCUAAGUGAGUAGAUAGGAUUUUUCUGAACACUUCUUACAAUAAAAGUGUCUUCCAAAUGACACAAUACAUUAUUCACCAUCAAUUUCCUAUUGGACAAAACAUUAUCCAAAAUCAAACAAAACAAGCUGUGAGUACAUCCAACAAGUUUGUAGAGUCACAAGCUUGAUGUAGUCAUUGCGUACAAGGACCAUGGGACCAAAUACUAAACUUUUUACUACUUUAAUGCAGUCACUUUAAGUGAAAUUUGUCCAAAUACUGUACUUAUGACAUCUUCAAAUGGGGGGACUAGGUGUAUAAAGUGCAUUAAUUUCUAAAUGGUAAAAGAGAUAUAUAUGAAAAUACCGUCAAAUAAAAGGUGACAUUAUGUACUGUCACUUCAUAUGAAACAUUUGAUCUCAAAUCCAAAAUGCUAUAGAGCCUAAUGUACCCCCAAAACACCAGUCUCAACAUCAACAGUGAAGAGGAUGCUGGCCUUCUAGGCAGAGUUGCAAAGAAAAAGCCAUAUCUCAGACUGGCCAAUAAAAAUAAAAGAUCAAGAGGGGCAAAAGAAAAGACACUGGACAGAGGAACUCAGCAUCUUGGAGUCGCCUCUUCACUGUUGACGUUGAGACUGGUAUUUUGCGGGUACUAUUUAAUGAAGCUGCCAGUUGAGGACUUGUGAGGUGUCUAUUUCUCAAACUAGACACUCUAAUGUACUUGUCCUCUUGCUCACUUGUGCACCGGGGCCUCCCACUCCUCUUUCUAUGCUGGGGUAGAGCCAGUUUGCGCUGUUCUGUGCAGGGAGUAGUACACAGCAUUGUACGAGAUCUUCAGUUUCUUGGCAAUUUCUUGCAUGGAAUAGCCUUCAAUUCUCAGAACAAGAAUAGACUGACGAGUUUCAGAAGAAAGUUCUUUGUUUCUGGCCAUUUUGAGCCUGUAAUCGAACCCACAAAUGCUGAUGCUCCAGAUACUCAACUAGUCUAAAGAAGGCCAGUUUUAUUGCUUCUUUAAUCAGAACAACAGUUUUCAGCUGUGCUAACAUCAUCGCAAAAGGGUUUUCUAAUGAUCAAUUAACCUUUUAAAAUUAUAAACUUGGAUUAGCUAGCACAACAUGCCAUUGUAACACAGGAGUGAUGGUUGCUGAUAAUGGGCCUCUGUACGCCUAUGUAGAUAAUCCAUAAAAAAAUCUGCUGUUUCCAGCUACAAUAGUCAUUUACAAUAUUAACAAUGUCUACACUGUAUUUCUGAUCAAUUUGAUAUUAUUUUAAUGGACAAAAAGUGUGCUUUUCUUUCAAAAACAUUUCUAAGUGACCCCAAACUUUUGAACGGUAGUGUAUAUGUAUUUGUGUUGUGUCGGUAUGCGUGUGUGUGUUGUGUGUGUGUGUGCUUUUGUAGCUUUUGUGUGGGAGUGUCAAUGUAGUGUGUGUGAGUGAGUGUGUAUAUGGUGUGAAUAUAUAGUGUAGUGAGUGUGCAUAGGGUCAGUGCAAGAUAGAGUCAGUGCAGGUAGUUUAGCAGUCUGGCUAUUUAGCAGUCUUACGGCUUGGGGGGUAGAAGCUGUGUUGGAGCCUGUUGGUCCAAGAGCCGAUGAUCUUAUUCAGGGGCUUCAUAGCAAAGGGGGUGAAAACAUAUGCACGCACCACUUUUCUGUUUUUUUUUUUUUUUUUUAAACAAGUUAUUUUUUUUAAUUUCACUUCACCAAUUUGGACUAUUUUGUGUAUGUCCAUUACAUAAAAUCCAAAUAAAAAUCUAUUUAAAUUACAGGUUGUAAUGCAGCAAAUUAGGAAAAACGCCAAGUGGGAUGAAUACUUUUGCAAGGCACUGCAAGUAAGCAUUUCAUGGUAAAGUCUACACCCGUUGGAUUCGGCACAUUACAUUUGAUUUGAUUUGAAACAUUUGAUAUCAAAUCCAAAAUGGUGAAGUAUAGAGCCAAAUGUAAAAAAAAAAUAUUACUGUCCAAAUAAAGUACCAAUGCAUUUUAAUUAACGGUAGUGCCUUGUUAAAAGUUAAUUUGUGGAAUUACUUUCCUUCUUAAUGCAUUUGAGCCAAUCAGUUGUGUUGUGACAAGGUAGGGGUGGUAUACAGAAGAUAGCCCUAUUUGGUAAAAGACCAAGUCCAUAUUAUGGCAAGAACAGCUCAAAUAAGCAAAGAGAAACAACUGUCCAUCAUUACUUUAAGACGUGGGUCAGUCAAUGCGGAACAUUUCAAGAACUUCGAAAGUGUCUUCAAGUAAACUACAAUCGUAAAAACCAUCAAGCAAGUAAAUGAGUUUGUCACAGCUUACUUGAGGGUGGGGUUGGAUUACAAUUAGGUCAACAAUCAUGCCCCUUCUUGCCAAUAGAUACGUGGUGGCAACGCCCCUUGCCAUGCGGAACACAGGUGGUCUGUUCCAGCAGCAUUAAAUCAGAUUAUCUUUGGCAGGAGCUUGGUUUGCAAUGCACAUAUUGCUCAGGAAAUACUCAGAAAAAAAUGUUGUUUAAUAAUCUAGGACAGAUGGCCAGGAUAUGGUUGACAUCCAAAACUAGCUUGCUAUCUGUAGCAUAUUGGUUGUUGUUUAGGGCCCUAGCUAGCUAGUUAGCUAAUUAAUCCCACCUGAUGAUAGGUUUGAUAGGAUGAAGCCAGCAUGCUUUCAAUAAUGUUUCAAAUUGAACUGGCUAGCUAAGAUCCCUGCUAGUUAACGUUAGCUAGCUAGCUACUUCAAAUAAUCAAGUAAACCUGACGACAUGUUUGAUGUUGCCAGCUUGUUUUCAAUAAUGUUUCAAGCUAGCUAUGAAAGCUAGUGUUAGGCGAGCUAGGUAGGUAGCCAGGUAGAAUUCAAGGGUUUCAGCUAACCUAAAACAAUAUGCCAACAACAUUAUUGAGUAUUUUCCAGGUCAAAAAUAAUGACGAGGCUGAGGCCACCAAACACCAGUAAUGUUUCAGAGUAAUGGAGGACAGUUGAAUCAGGUUGCUCAUAUUUGAUCUGGACAAAGGUCUUAAUACUAUCACUUGUCUGUCCUGGUAUUCACCUUUCAUAACCACCAUUGAUCAUGUGUGUGUUUUUAUGUUUCUUGUAUGUUGUAAGGAAGUGCUCCAUUCCAUAGCGCCAAUAGACUUCUCCAGGGCCAGGGUGAAUAAUGCCAACCAGUCAUUGCCAUGGCACGUGUCCCUUAUGAAUUAGAUGUGAAUCAUAACCUCUGAUUGGCUAUGUUCAACUGUGUAUUUACUGGGUUUUUUUUGUUUUCUUUACCCCGUUUUUGUGGUAUCCAAUUGGUAGUUACAGUCUUGUCUCAUCGCUACAACUCCCGUACGGACUCGAGAGAGGCAAAGGUCGAGAGGUGCACUUCCUCCGAAACACAACUCAACAAACAACCCAACUGGUUCUUGACACAAUGCCCACUUAACCCGGAAGCCAGCCGCACCAAUGCGUCUUAGGAAACACCAUACACCUGGCGACUGUGUCAGCGUGCACUGCGCCCGGCCAGCCACAGGAGUUGCUAGUGUGUGAUGGGACAAGGACAUCCCUGCCAGUCAUACCCUCCCCUAACCCGGACGACACUGGGCCAAUUGUGCACCACCCUAUGGCUCUCCCGGUCGCGGUCGGCUGCGACAGAGCCUGGACUCAAACCCAGAGUCUCUAGUGGCACAGCUAGCACUGCGAUGCAGUGCCUUAGACCACUGCGCCACUCGGGAGGCCCACUGUGUAUUUACUGUUGGCAGACUCUCUCUCCGUCCCUCUCUUUCUCUGUGAUGUAGGAGCUGGGUCGGAUCUGAAGGUCAGGCUCCUUCAUGACCAGUAUCUGUGACGAGAGGGGCCUGAGGCUGAUCUACGCUGACAUGCCCAUCAGGCAUUGACAAACACCUCAGAAGGGACAAAAGAUGGAGGACAAAAUAAAUGCUUUUGUCAUGGAGUCCUCUAACUGAAAGAUG